rnacentral:lncRNA from 1 species
CCAUUCUAAUUCAGACCAUCACAGUGUGUGACUAUGAAUUUGUCUUGUUUGCUUGAAUGUUUCUAUAAUUAUCUCACUUUUGUUUUAAAAACUAACCCAGACCUGACCAUGCUGCCUAGUGUCCAGAUUAAAAAAACAAACAAAUUUAUUUUUUUGCCUUCUAUGUGUCCUAAUAUAAUAUAUUGAUUUCCUUCUCCAGCUCCCGGACAUUUCUGCUUACCUUCUUUGUGACCAUGUGGUACUUUUAAAUAGUUUGCUAUGGCUUGUCUUUAGUGUUCCUAGCCUCUCUUGUGUUUUCUUGUACUUAGCAUUUUUUUCCCUUUGUUGUAUCUAAAUGGUUUAUAUAAGUUUCCUCAUAUUAAGAUGAUUUACAGUCUUUUUGUCCAUCCAUCAGUCUCUCCAUCAGUCCAUCCAUCCAUCUCAACUCCACUAGUGAUUUUUUUCAAUGUAUGUGUGCAUUUAUUUGUAUGGGUACAUGUGUGUAGAUUUGUGGGCAUAUGCCAUGUGGAAGUCAGAAGUUAACAGUGGAUGUCUUCAUCUCUCUCCACCUAGGUUUUUCUUGAGAGAGAGAGUUUUUGUCUUUUGACGCAGGGUCUUUUGAUAAAGCUGGAGUUCACCAGAUUGGCUAGGCUGGUUAGCCAGAAAAUUGCAGGGAUCCUUUAUCUCUGCUGUCUAUCUCUCCCCCACCCCACCCCACCUUGCACAUAUCACCAUACCAGGAAAUUUAGUUCUUGACCCUCUAGCUUUGCCAGUCUUUCUGCUCCCUUCCGUGAUGUCCCUGAGCCUCAGGUGUAGGAUUAUGUUGUAGAUUGUACCAGUUGGGACUGACUACUUCAUAGUCAAUUUUUCUCUACAUUUUCAUGAGGUAUGGAUUCCUAUAAUUUUUUUAUGUAAUCUAUUACAAUAUUUUAAUUUUUAUUUUGAGUCUAUAAUUUGAAAAAUGAAAUGUUUUGUAUGUAAUCAUUGAAGAAUUUGAAUUAAUUUCUGCUAUUAGGUACCACUGUUAGAUAGACAAGGAUCAAGACAUAGAUGACAAACAUAUGGCUUUUAUAGCACAUAUCACACAGGAAACAAUAAUAUGAAUAUCACAUUUCCCAAGAUAUGUUAUGUCACUCGGACAUUAUAGAACAUUAUAAAGACCAUUGUUCUGUGGGAUGAAAAUAUAAAUUUCUGAGUUUUCUGUUUAUAAAAUUGAUAUAAUGUCUGCCAAGUACCUGUUCAAGCCCCAUUUCUUCUCUCUAACUUCAUAACAAUGUUUGGAUUCAGGUGUCAGUUAAGUGUCUCUUAUUUAUUUACUGCUUGUAUGCUAGUGUAAGAAGGAUGUUCAUGCUUGGUAUGCUGUCAUCUGCCUGUAAUUCCAGCAUCUCAGAAGCUGAUUCUGAGUUAGAAGCCAGUUUAGGGUAUAUAGUUCCAGACAAGCCUGACAAUAUCAAGGCUUUAUCUCAAAAUGAAUUAACUACUAUUAAUGAAAUAAACUUUAUUGAAGACAGGUAUUUGUCCAUUUUUAGCAAUAACUGCUAAACACGUAGAAGUCAAAUGGUAUCACAAGUCCCUCUGGCUAUUUUGGCCUACACCACUCUUGGACACUUUCCAAGAGUCAGUUUUAUAAUUAGAAGAUUCUGACUGGUGUGGUGUCUCCACUGUAUGACCUUGGUUAAGCUCAGGUCUCUGCAUCUUAUAGAAUACCAAAUUUACAUACUUUACUGGGCUUUUGUUUUUGUUUUUUGAGCUUGAUAUAAAACUAUGUACAGGUGCUUUAUUAACCACAAAGUGGCUUACUAAUAAUAAUACUUAAAGUUAAUUGUUCCCUUCAUUGAGCUUCCUAAAAUUAAACUAGUGGGGUAGGUUUUGCCUAUUUAAAAAGACUAGUUUGCUGAUUUUAUUCUAACUCCCUGAGUUGAAAACAAGAUGAUUACAAAAUAGUAGCUACUUUGAUCUUGAUGCCCUUUGUAUUUAAUAAACUUGAAAAAGUUCUUUUCUGUCUCAAGAUGUCUUCCUGAACUACCCAAGAUUGGAAAGACUAUCAGAGAAAGACAUUCCAGUUUUUACCAGUUUGUCUUCAGAAACCAAUGGUUGGGCAGUAGUCACCCUCUGCCUGGACUUGGACUUCCUCUGUGCUUGCUUUUAUGGUGUGCUGGCCACUUUUAUAUCAACUUAACACAAGCUAAAAUCAUUUGGGAAACAGGACUUCCAAUUGAAGAACAAGUCUCCAUAAGAUUGGUUUAUAGGGAAGUUUUUAGUGCAUUUUCUUAGUGAUUAAUGUGGGAGAGCCCAGCCCAUUUUAUGUGGUACCACUUCUAGGCUGGUGGUGCUGGGUACUGUAAGAAAGCAGGCAAAGCAAACCAUGAGGGAGCAAAGCCUUUUAGCAAGAGCAUUCCUCCAUGGCCUCUGCAUAGGUUCCUGCCUCCAGGUUCCUACCUUGUCCCUGUCCUUACUUCCCUGGAUAAAAUGGCAACACUUUAAGUAAGGUUGGGUAGCUACAAUCUAGAACAUGAAAUAAACCCUUUCCUCCUCUAGUUGCUUUUGUUCAUGGCUUUAUUAGAGCAAUUAGAAACCAUAAGACACCACAUGAAGGAUUUCCCUCAUUUUUGAACCCCUUUUUGGAAGAAACUUUGUAGUUCUACAGACCUGUUUUGUAAAAAUGAAUCUGUUGGUAGAGCUAUCACAUCUGUUUGGAUAAAAUUAAAAAACCCAGUUUCAAAGGGGGAAGUAAAAGUAUGCAUAGCCCUAAUCACUUCUGUAAACUUUACUUCAGUCAGUAGCAUAACAGAGUGACUUACCAGUUAUAAAUUAAAACAAAUAAUUCUGUCUGAUCCUUGUAUCCUAAUUUUACCAAUGGAAUUGUGCAGAAAUUACUAUUAUACUUUUUUAGUUGUCUUUUGUAAUAUCAUGUAUAAGUCUUAGUUUUUAAGAAUUUCUGCAUAGUUAAAUCAUAAUUAAAUCUGUUUCUGAUCUUAGUCUACUUCUGUGUUGUCUAAUAGAAACCAGAACUACUUAAACAAGAUUUUAGCAAAAACCUUGGGUAGUUCACAGAAUUUGGAGGAAGAUAGUAGAAUCAAGUUUCAAAAUGGGCAUGAUGGAGAAAAAUAGGACACAGCCAGAUUCGUGGUAUCAUACAGCCUGCUUAAGAAGAUGGUACAUUCAUGCCAGUGACUCUGUUGGGCUCUUUCAUCUGUGUUGUGGCAACUGUGGACUGUUCUCGCAAUGACCCUGGUGCUGUAGCACCCUCUCAAGAUUCCAAGUUCUGAGCAGCAGUAUCUGAUUGGCCAGUCUCUAUCAGUUUCCCAUUUUUGCUUCCAAGGAGAUCAGAGAUGCUCAGCCUCCAGAGCACUGGGAUUAAAGAUGUGUCAGCACAUCCAGCCACUUUACCCUUUGUCUUCAGUGUUAGUAUUGGUAGCUUGUACAUUUGUGUCAGAAGUCAAAUUUCUGGAUCAGCUGCUGUUUGCAUUUAAUUUUUAUAGAUGUUGCCAGAGAUCUUCAUAAGUGUGAUUGUGUUUAAUCUGAACUUCCUGUAUAUGUCAUGGACUUAAAUUUAACAAGCUAACUUUAGCAAUAAUUAUGUGGAUUAAUUAACUAGUCUAUAUUUUCCUAAUUUAACAAUUUGUUUUUGUUACUGUUACUUUUUUAGUACAUGAAAUAGUUUAUUUUGCUUACAGCUUCUAAUUUUGCACAAACCAUUUAUAUCUUAACAUACUUCUUAUAGGUCAUGUACAAUAGAUUUUAUUCCAUAGUAAUAAUAUAUGUAUCUACCUCUUUCCAUAGAAUCAUGAAAGAAUGUUUUCUUUUUAAGCUACUUAAUUUUGAGACACUGUGUUAUUGUGUAGUCCAGGCUGACCAUGAGCCCUCAGUGAUCCUUCUACCCCAGUCCCUUGUAUUCUAAAGUUGCAGGAAUGCAGCACCAAGUCUACUUUUGUGUUGUUUCUUUUGCUUUAUUUCCCAGCUCUGGAAGCUUUUAUUUAAUAGGUCUAUAAUAGAAUACAGUUGGCCUUACUUUUUUUCCAUAUUAUUUUUUGAGACGAGGUUUUACUGUGUAACCUGACAGACUUCAAACUUGCAAUUUUACCACCUUGUCCUCCAGGUACUGGGCUCACAGGUAUGUGCCACUUUGCUGCCCAGCUAUGUUUCAGGUAAACAAAAGAAAAGCUUUUUAAAUUUCUCAUGAUUGAUUCUUUUUUUUUCUCCCCAUAAAACAUGAUUUUAAUAUUUCUAGCUGUUAAUAUUAAAGAAAUGGAAUAAUUAUUUUAAGAUAUAUUUUGUUGUUAUGUCUCUCUUUUCAUUACUUGAUUUUAUUAAUUUGGAUACUGUCUCUGUCCUCUGGUUAGCCUGGCUAAGGAUUUAUCUAUCUUGUUGAUUUUCCC